GAGGAAUAUUGGUCAAUGGGCGAGAGCCUGAACCAGCCAAGUCGCGUGAAGGAAGACUGCCUUAUGGGUUGUAAACUUCUUUUAUACAGGAAUAAAAAGGCUUACGUGUAGGCCAUUGCAAGUACUGUAUGAAUAAGCAUCGGCUAACUCCGUGCCAGCAGCCGCGGUAAUACGGAGGAUGCGAGCGUUAUCCGGAUUUAUUGGGUUUAAAGGGUGCGCAGGCGGGCUUUUAAGUCAGCGGUGAAAUCUGGACGCUUAACGUCCAAACUGCCGUUGAAACUGGGAGUCUUGAGUAUGGAUGAAGUAGGCGGAAUUCGUUGUGUAGCGGUGACAUGCAUAGAUAUAACGAGGAACUCCGAUUGCGUAGGCAGGUCACUGGGCCGCAACUGACGCUGAGGAGCGAAAGCAUGGGGAGCGAACA
rnacentral:rRNA from 1 species